rnacentral:rRNA from 1 species
GGCCAGACUCCUACGGGAGGCAGCAGUGGGGAAUAUUGCACAAUGGGGGAAACCCUGAUGCAGCGACGCCGCGUGAGUGAAGAAGUAAUUCGUUAUGUAAAGCUCUAUCAGCAGGGAAGAAAAUGACGGUACCUGAGUAAGAAGCCCCGGCUAACUACGUGCCAGCAGCCGCGGUAAUACGUAGGGGGCAAGCGUUAUCCGGAUUUACUGGGUGUAAAGGGAGCGCAGGCGGCACGGCAAGCCUGAUGUGAAAGCCCGCGGCCCAACCGCGGGACUGCAUUGGGAACUACCGGGCUGGAGUGCCGGAGAGGUAGGCGGAAUUCCUAGUGUAGCGGUGAAAUGCGUAGAUAUUAGGAGGAACACCAGUGGCGAAGGCGGCCCACUGGACGGUGACUGACGCUGAGGCUCGAAAGCGUGGGGAGCAAACAGGAUUAGAUACCCUUGUAA